CAGAUGCGGCCCGUAUCUGUGUAACCGAACGCGAAAAGUUUUCUGAAGUGAAGUGGAGGCAGCCCGCAGCGGAAACGUUAUUCCUCAUAAACUUCAGUUAGCGCUGAGUAUUACAACACCUGAGAGACAGCGCUUGAGGUAAUGACCAAUCAGAAGUUUAACAACAGAGACCAGACCUAAGAUGUUCCACAAGAGCGCCGGCAAAGG